rnacentral:lncRNA from 1 species
AGGGUUGGGAAUAGGCCAGGCGGCCUACAGGGGCCUUCGGCCUGGCCUGUAUAAGUCUGGCCUGGCCUGGCCUGGUUAUUAAAAAUGUCAGGCUUAGGCUUUGAAAACGGCCUGUUUACAUAAAUAGGUCAGGCUUAGGCUUCUAAAAAGGCCUACGAAGCCUGAUAGGCCGGCCUGUUUAUAAUAAUUAUUAUUUAUAUAAUAUUAUUAUUUAUAUCUUAUAAAAAAAUAUUAUUUAUAUAAAUAUUA